GAGACACUGGUUCCCAUAUAAUCACUGAAGUUAAGCAACAUCAAGCCUGGUUAGUACCUAGAUGGGUGACUGCUUGGGAAUACCAAGUGCU